ensembl:lncRNA
CUCGCCACCACCCACGGCCCUGCACAGUCGCCAGCUGCUCUGGAGAGCCCACGGCUGGGCGGGCCCGGCCCGGCCCCUACCACCUCACUCCCCCUCGAACUUGGGGCCAGGGGCAGGUGGAAAGAGGAGGAAGGAUCCUGCCCAACCUUAUAGGCCUGCAGCCUCCCUCCCAACAGGCCUUCUGGAGUCAGCAGGGGGGCAGAGGGGACUCUGGGCAGAGGGAGACAAACGAGAUUAAGGAUGCUUCCUGGCUUUGUAUCCUUUGCCAGUUCUCCUCCACCCAACCUCCUGGGAGGAACAAAUGGGACAUACACCCUGCCGCUUCUCCGCCCUUUACAUCUCCAGGGCCAGUAGUAGGGAGCGAGGGGGAGGAAGGGUCCGGCCCAGCGGCACUCCCUCAGCGUCUGCUCCCACGCCUGCUGGGAGUCAAGCAAGAAGGUCUGCCCCGGCCCCGGGCCUCCCUGCCUCUCUCCUGGCCAGAGAAGGGGAGCCGUGGGAAGAAGGACCCAACUCAGCCCCAGCCCCCAUCCAGCCGGAGGCCCUGCCCCUCACCCCCAGGAAGCUUCCAGGGCCUGUGAAGGAAGCUGGCAGGAAGAAGGUUUUCAAGAAGCCCGAGUUCUCAAUCAGACCCCCGGAGAGAGGCUGAGGACCACCCAAGCAGGACAGCCUAGUUGGGGCAGCCAUGGGAAAAGCCGCAGCUAUGCUGGGCAGUAGCGCCGGAGCUGGGCAUGGGGUAUGGCACCAAGAAGAGUGAGCCUGCUGGACCAAGGGCAGUCUGGCCAGGGACAGCUCCCACCAUGGAGGACCUUGUCCUCUGCCCCAUCCUCUACAACAUUCAGCGAUGAUGGCUGCAGGUGGAGGCUGGGACCACGCCAGGAGGCAGGGAAAGAGAUCUGGCUAGUGAUGGCCCCUUCAGCACUGAAUCACCAUGGGGACUUCAGGGCCUCCAAGUCAAAAGCAUGGAUCGACUCCAAUCUAACAGUCAGUUCUGAGACCCAGGGCUCAGAAGUGGCUGAUGGUGGGCACCUAUGUGGAAUCUCUUUGCACACCAGCAGCUGGGUCUCCAGCAGUUGACCGCUCAACAAGUAGACCCUGGGGAGAUGCUGGGCACCCAAAGACACAUCUGGCUCUGCCCUGAUCUCCAGGAGCUCACAGCUUGGUGUGGGGAGAUGUAUAACAACAGUCAACAUCCACUGAGCAUUUACUCUGUGCCAGGCACUGGGCUAAGAACUCAUGCACAUUCAUAGACUCCUCCCAACAACUCCUGGAGGUGAGAAACCUGAGGCACAGAAAGAUCAAGUAAUUUGUCCACUGUGACAAUAAGGCAGAACGAGGAUGUGAACUCAGCGAGCCUGGAUCCAAAGCCCAUCUGCUCUAACCACAAAGCCGUCAACAGAGAAGCCAAGGCAGUUGUAACGCGGUGUGAGCUAUGCUGGGACAGGGUACGUGUCGGGGCUGCAGGAGCACAGAGGAAGCAUGUCAAGACGUCUUGGGUGAUUGGCGAAGGCUUCCAGGAGGAGGUGGGGCCUGAGAGAGCCUUGAGGGGUGCAUAGGAGUUAGCAAGGGGAAACAGGCAAUAGGAAGGAAUUCCAAAAGGAUAGGGCAUUGUGAGCAAAGCACAGAGGGAAGAAAGGGCAGAAUUCAAGUGAUGUGGUGAUGUUUGAGGGUAAGGAGUGAGGUGGAGAUCCGUAAGAGGGCAAGCUGGGGAGACCCAAGGAGCUGGAUGUUAUGCUGGGGACAUGGGGAGCCAGGCAAAGAGAGCAGCAGAGAAGACCCGACUUUGAGAAGCUCCCUCUGGCUACAGCAUGAAGGGGGAUUGUAGAGGGAGAGAUACAGGAGAUUGGUGAUAGGCCAGGAAAGGGCUGGCCAGGGGGUGGGCUCAGGCUGUGUGCUACUGGGAUUGGAGAGGAGGAAGCAAACUCAGGAAGUGAUUUGGAGGUAAAAGUGGGUGGAAGCGGUGAUGGAUUGGAAGUGGAGGUAGGAGAAGGGAGAGGGAGAGUCCAGGAGGUGGGACCCAGCAGGCUCGGGGCUGACAAAUGAGGGCUGCCUCUCUCUGGGCCAGGCCUCUAGGGUGUUGGCACAGCUGCGCACUCAACCCCAGCUUGGGCUGUAGGGGGCCCAGCCACCAGGAGCCAACAAGGCAAGAAGCACCCAAAGCUGAAAGGGCCCCUGGCCAACUGUAUCUCCUCCCUCUGGCAUGUCAAAUCCCACCACCCCAGCUUCAUCCUCCUGGGGAAAGCAUCGCCUCUUCUCGGAUGGGAGAUCAUAUGAUGCCUUGAACUCCUCUUACAGAGCUGAACACUCAAGUUACAUAUGAUCUUUUUCAGGGGCAGCUUUCUGGGGUUCCCCCACUGGGCAGAAUAAAUUGUUCCCUCCUCUGUGGUCCCAGAGUGCCUUGUGUGUUUGCACAAUCCUGAUGACCCUGGAGUGGUUUUUCUUUAGUCUGCCCGCUGCAUUAGUCUGGGAGCUCCUGAAGGGGCAUUGUGACAAGGGAUCCUUUGGUUUGUGUUUUUGCAAAUGAGGAUGAUUUCGCGUGAAUGCAUUUUCUCAAGUUAUCUUCCUUUCUAGAUUGUGAGCCCUCUGAAGGCGGUCUCUUGUCUUAUUUUAUUAUCCGACAGUAACGUUGACUUUUUUUGAUGUUCAGCUCUACAAAUUUCAACGCAUAUAUAGAUCACGUAAGCCCUGUCUGAAGGCACUGUUAAUUCACAUAAAUGGUAUUAUGCUAUGGAUCCUC